CUACCUCCCGGCCUACUUGUGCCAAAAUCAAGUUGUUUUGCUAACGAACUAAAAUGCAUACCCUGGUAUUUAUGGUUACAGAUCAACGCUGAGACCAAGGUUUGCUCUGAGCACUUUGAGAAGCAGUGUUUUGUAAAGACCGCCCGUGGUAUCACAAAGCUUAUAAGGAUGCCGUGCCACUUUGUUCGCCUGGACUUCAGAGAGGCCAAAGAGGAGAAUCAUCAUUCGCAGACCGAGAGAUGAUGACCCAUUCCUGAAGUUGGACGCCAGAAUGCAGGAAGGUGCUGUUUAAGAGCCUAGGCGGUGGAAGAAGCACUUGCAGGUAUGCUACCGACCAGGCUCCUCAACAUCAAUCCGAGACGGAAGAUGAACCGGGAUGAAGCAGUUAGAUUGAGACAAGGCGGCCGGAAACUUUGAUGACCUCAAUGACACUGGCUAGGUGAAGGACAUCAAGAAAAUGGCAUCCGGUCACCAGACAUCAGCUCAUAAGCCACAACGUCAUCAACCAUUUUGCGCCAAAAAUGAAGCCGUUCACAUACCAUGGCAUCCUAAGCAGGCAGCACCACACUACUGUGCAACAGUGAGAGAGAGCGGGCAAGGACAAGUAAAACGGACCUACACUACAGCAAGACUUUGACACUUCUCCACGUGAGAGGCAGCCAUCGCCCCCACCGUUGAGCAGUGUGUACCCAGUACCCCCAAAAGAGGAGAUGAUCCGACGCCAUCACAGCCGAUUUCCAAAAUUGUACACCAAACUCUGUAUGGGCGUGUGUGUGUGUGUGUG